rnacentral:rRNA from 1 species
AACGAACGCUGGCGGCAGGCCUAACACAUGCAAGUCGAGCGAGACCUUCGGGUCUAGCGGCGGACGGGUGAGUAACGCGUGGGAACGUACCCUUUUCUGCGGAAUAGCCUCGGGAAACUGAGAGUAAUACCGCAUACGCCCUUUUGGGGAAAGAUUUAUCGGAGAAGGAUCGGCCCGCGUUGGAUUAGGUAGUUGGUGGGGUAAUGGCCUACCAAGCCGACGAUCCAUAGCUGGUUUGAGAGGAUGAUCAGCCACACUGGGACUGAGACACGGCCCAGACUCCUACGGAGGCAGCAGUGGGGAAUCUUAGAGAAUGGGGGCAACCCUGAUCUAGCCAUGCCGCGUGAGUGAUGAAGGCCUUAGGGUUGUAAAGCUCUUUCAGCUGAGAAGAUAAUGACGGUACCAGCAGAAGAAGCCCCGGCUAACUCCGUGCCAGCCGCCGCGGUAAGAC